CAUCGCAUGAUCCCCCCGGCUAAAUCCCGGACGGGAGGGGAUGGCUCCGCGGCCCAUCAGGUAGACGGCGGGGUGACGGCCCACCGUGCCGACAACGGGUAGCCGGGUUGAGAGACCGACCGGCCAGAUUGGGACUGAGACACGGCCCAGACUCCUACGGGAGGCAGCAGUGGGGAAUCUUGCGCAAUGGGGGGAACCCUGACGCAGCGACGCCGCGUGCGGGACGGAGGCCUUCGGGUCGUAAACCGCUUUCAGCAGGGAAGAGUCAAGACUGUACCUGCAGAAGAAGCCCCGGCUAACUACGUGCCAGCAGCCGCGGUAAUACGUAGGGGGCGAGCGUUAUCCGGAUUCAUUGGGCGUAAAGCGCGCGUAGGCGGCCCGGCAGGCCGGGGGUCGAAGCGGGGGGCUCAACCCCCCGAAGCCCCCGGAACCUCCGCGGCUUGGGUCCGGUAGGGGAGGGUGGAACACCCGGUGUAGCGGUGGAAUGCGCAGAUAUCGGGUGGAACACCGGUGGCGAAGGCGGCCCUCUGGGCCGAGACCGACGCUGAGGCGCGAAAGCUGGGGGAGCGAACAGGAUUAGAUACCCUGGUAGUCCCAGCCGUAAACGAUGGACGCUAGGUGUGGGGGGACGAUCCCCCCGUGCCGCAGCCAACGCAUUAAGCGUCCCGCCUGGGGAGUACGGCCGCAAGGCUAAAACUCAAAGGAAUUGACGGGGGCCCGCACAAGCAGCGGAGCAUGUGGCUUAAUUCGAAGCAACGCGAAGAACCUUACCAGGGCUUGACAUAUGGGUGAAGCGGGGGAGACCCCGUGGCCGAGAGGAGCCCAUACAGGUGGUGCAUGGCUGUCGUCAGCUCGUGUCGUGAGAUGUUGGGUUAAGUCCCGCAACGAGCGCAACCCCCGCCGCGUGUUGCCAUCGGGUGAUGCCGGGAACCCACGCGGGACCGCCGCCGUCAAGGCGGAGGAGGGCGGGGACGACGUCAAGUCAUCAUGCCCCUUAUGCCCUGGGCUGCACACGUGCUACAAUGGCCGGUACAGAGGGAUGCCACCCCGCGAGGGGGAGCGGAUCCCGGAAAGCCGGCCCCAGUUCGGAUUGGGGGCUGCAACCCGCCCCCAUGAAGUCGGAGUUGCUAGUAAUCGCGGAUCAGCAUGCCGCGGUGAAUGCGUUCCCGGGCCUUGCACACACCGCCCGUCA
rnacentral:rRNA from 1 species